UACGGAGGAUGCGAGCGUUAUCCGGAUUUAUUGGGUUUAAAGGGUGCGUAGGCGGGCUCUUAAGUCAGCGGUAAAAAUUCGGGGCUCAACCCCGUCCGGCCGUUGAAACUGGGGGCCUUGAGUGGGCGAGAAGAAGGCGGAAUGCGUGGUGUAGCGGUGAAAUGCAUAGAUAUCACGCAGAACCCCGAUUGCGAAGGCAGCCUUCCGGCGCCCUACUGACGCUGAGGCACGAAAGUGCGGGGAUCGAACAGG
rnacentral:rRNA from 1 species